AAGCAGUACUAAUGGGACACACACUGGUUCGGAAUAAAUAAAGAAUGCCAACUCCUUGAAGCUCCCCGAACGAAUCUCCCUCUCACCGACGACACGACACAAAAUGAUUGCAGAAACAAGCAUCUGAUUGCAUCGGUAAUUCCCAUGGCAACCGAGCCACCAGAUGGGAUAAUAUUCUGGGAUGGCCCUGGCACCUGUGGCGUCGCCUGCGUUAAAUUGAGCAGAAUAUUCCGUGGAUGAUUUUGAACAUCAUCCGCUCAACACCGGUCGCUCGGCUCCGAGGAGAAUACACAAACACACACGUCGCUCAACACUGGCGCGUCCUCACCAGGCGCUAGCCAGCCAGUUAAAAAGCCAUGAUGACUUAAAAUCUAAAUUAUCUCUGUUAUACUGAUAAUGACUGGCAGCGGGCGCGGGGAGGGGGGGGUCUGAGUCCAGGGUGAGAUGACCGCGCCCCCCGUGAGUUUGUAGCGUAAAAGGAAAAAAAGCGAGAGAACGAAGCAUUUCCUGUCACGUGUUCGGUUUGCCCGCCCCGUCGCCCCGCUUGACGUGUUUGCUCUGGGCGGCCCAGGGGGCGUCGUCCCACCCCCAGGACAGGUUCUCCCCGUCCUCGGCGGGACUGUCCGGGGCCCGGGGGCCGGUCGGGGGGGGGGUGCCGGCGUCCCCGGGGCGAUGAUCGCCGACGACGUCGUUUUUGUUUCCGUCGUCGCCGAGGGACGCCAGGAGGUCCGAGAUGUCAGGGAUGUCCCAGCCGUCGCUCGUCUCCUCCUGUCCCCCCCCCUCCGUCUCCUCCUGUUCCCCCCCCUCCGUCUCCUCCUGUCCACCCCCCUCCCUCUCCCUGGUGGUGCUGGGGUGGCUGCCCGGGGUCUGGGGGUCUGCGAGUCCGGGGUGGUCAGCGUGGUCCGCCUCUCUGACAGUGACCGAGUUCAGGGGCCCGAAGGAGGCAGAGGCGCCGGGGGCCUCGCGGGUCGGCAUGCCGACCGCCACCAGGAUGGUGUCCAUCUGCUUCAUGUAGUCCAGGUGACCUUUGACCUGGGGAACACACGCGCAGAACCCUUUAUGUCGGAGCCUCAUCACAACCACAGGGAAAUCCGCUGUGUUUAAAUCAGUUGAAUCAAGUUCUUGUCUGCCGCGUGUCGUGUGCUGAUGUGCGUCACGGGGCUUCGGGGAGGAACAGCCCGCACACCGACCUGGUUCUACUGAUUCUAGCGCCACGGAAGUCGUGACCGCCGGAGGCCAACUGGCAUUCCCUCGUCCACAAGAGUGGCUCUCAUAGGGCUGGGGAUGAAGGUCGUACCUGGCUGGGAACUGAAGGCCAGCCAUGGCCUCCUUCUGUUGGUCUCUGUUUUAUCUGACAUGUUAAACGUGACCCCGGUUGAGCUAUGGAAUCGAAUAAUAAAAGGUCCAUCAUUUGAUAACAGGCAAUGUGUGUCACUCGUUUUUGUGUCUUUGUGAUAAAGAGAAGCCCAGCUCCAGUUCUCCUGAGCUGCAGAGCGUUGAUACACACCACACACAC
ensembl:lncRNA